rnacentral:rRNA from 1 species
AGAGUUUGAUCCUGGCUCAGAUUGAACGCUGGCGGCAUGCUUUACACAUGCAAGUCGAACGGCAGCACGGACUUCGGUCUGGUGGCGAGUGGCGAACGGGUGAGUAAUACAUCGGAACGUACCCAGUAAUGGGGGAUAACUAGUCGAAAGAUUAGCUAAUACCGCAUACGCCCUACGGGGGAAAGAGGGGGAUCGCAAGACCUCUUGUUAUUGGAGCGGCCGAUGGCUGAUUAGCUAGUUGGUGGGGUAAAGGCCUACCAAGGCGACGAUCAGUAGCGGGUCUUA